UGUUGUCCAGUUCUACAAAGAGUAAACAAUUGUUUAAUAACAUCUUUUAUACCACUGCAUUGUUUAAUUCUUAAAUCAGACUGAUCAGAAGGUUGAUCAACUUUCUAUAACAGCAGGCUCUGACAAUAGUGCUGGUUGUAAUUCAAAUCACAGGUUUAUAUUAAUAUUCUCGUUUGAACACAUUAUGUUCUAUAGUAAGAGCUCAUUUACAGUGACUUGUAUAGUGAACACACCAUAUAAUCAAAACCGAAUAAUAAACAAAUUAAAAUACUUAUUUGAUAAAUGAAACAUCAUCGAUGUGCUGAUUUUUUAUGUAAGGAUGUGUUUAUUUAUCAUUUCUGGAAGGAGCCUAAAGCGUUAAGCUGUAAAUAAUAUUUCCACCACAGAAUUUUUAAAAAAAUUGUUUCCUAUAAUACCAUGCUCCCAAGUGUUUUAUUUCUUAUGUUGGUAUCUGGUUUUAGUUAUUAUAUAAAUUCCUCAGUCCAUUAGAUUACCUUGGUCAUUCAUACUGUCCAUUAUGGUCAUGAGUUUCUUUAACCUGGCCAUCGAUUCCUGUUCAUUGCCUUUACUCAUGAAGUCUGUUCCAAAGCCUGGGAUCAUGCCCUAAGUGUAACAAUAAACAGAUAUAUUCAACUUCAGAGAAGUUAAACUGAGGUAUUCAUUACGUGAACAUGAGCAUGUUGUAUUCACUGUACCAUGAUUUGCCCAAAAGGUCCCAUUUUCAUGAUGUUCUGGAACUGUUCAUACAUGUCCCGGAGUGUGAACUGACCUAUGAGAAGAGUGAACAGUAAUCACAGAUUAGCCCUGGAACAAGCAAACAGCAGCUGCUACAUGGCAUGUCUGAUUUAAUACAGAUUAAGUUUCCCCUUUGCUGUCAUAAUAACCUCCACUCAAGAGCAUUAGAGAGGUCAGGCACUGACUGAUGUUGGGUGAAGAGGCCUGGGGUGCAGUAAGUGUUCCAAGUCAUCUCAAAGAUGUUCAGUGUGGUUGAGAUCAGGGUUCUGUGCAGGCCACGUCAGUGCUUCCAGACCAGCCUUGGCAAAACAUGUCUUUAUAAACCUCACUUUGUGCACAGG